UNCCAUGUGUAGCGGUGAAAUGCGUAGAUAUAUGGAGGAACACCAGUGGCGAAAGCGGCUCUCUGGUCUGUCACUGACGCUGAGGCUCGAAAGCGUGGGUAGCGANCAGGAUUAGAUACCCUGGUAGUCCACGCCGUAAACGAUGAGUGCUAGGUGUUAGGCCCUUUCCGGGGCUUAGUGCCGGAGCUAACGCAAUAAGCACUCUGCCUGGGGAGUACGACCGCAAGGUNGAAACUCAAAGGAAUUGACGGGGGCCCGCACAAGCGGUGGAGCAUGUGGUUUAAUUCGAAGCAACGCGAAGAACCUUACCAGGUCUUGACAUCCCGAUGCUAUUCUUAGAGAUAGGAAGUUACUUUGGUACAUCGGAGACAGGUGGUGCAUGGUUGUCGUCAGCUCGUGUCGUGAGAUGUUGGGUUAAGUCCCGCAACGAGCGCAACCCUUAUUGUUAGUUGCCAUCAUUAAGUUGGGCACUCUAGCGAGACUGCCGGUAAUAAACCGGAGGAAGGUGGGGAUGACGUCAAAUCAUCAUGCCCCUUAUGACCUGGGCUACACACGUGCUACAAUGGUCGGUACAACGAGUUGCGAGCCGGUGACGGCAAGCUAAUCUCUGAAAGCCGAUCUCAGUUCGGAUUGGAGGCUGCAACUCGCCUCCAUGAAGUCGGAAUCGCUAGUAAUCGCGGAUCAGCACGCCGCGGUGAAUACGUUCCCGGGCCUUGUACACACCGCCCGUCACACCACG
rnacentral:rRNA from 1 species